ACAAAUCUCGGUCCCUGUCCAUGGGAUUUCUUGACAGAUGUAAGGAUGACUUAUCAAGAAACUUUCACACAGCACAGGUAUGCACAACAGAGUUGAAGAGCUUGAAAUGCAGAGAGUACAUCUUGGAUCUGAGAGUACCCUUGAGCUCCGUGUUCAGCAAGAAAGCAGUGAGCGCCAUGGGCUCUGUGGUACUGGCAUCAGGUUACUCACCUGUCUUGGAGCUUAUCAACGAUCUACUUUACAUCUCAUAUUUGAUACCAGAAACUGCUAAAAAUAAAAUCAGAUCAAGUAAAACAGGAAUAAAGGGGUUUAUUGUGCCUACGGCAUCAGGUUACUCACCUGCCUUGGAGCUUAUCAAGGAUCUAGUUUACAUCUCAUAUUUGAC
rnacentral:lncRNA from 1 species